rnacentral:lncRNA from 1 species
UGUGGUGGCUGCCGAUGGAAGUGGGACACACAUGAGCGUAGGGGAAGCGCUGGCGUCUUUGGAGAAGGGGACUGGUGGCAGAAGCGUCAUUCACUUAACAGCUGGAACCUAUAAAGAGAAUCUGAAUAUUCCGACCAAACAGAAGAACGUUAUGUUGGUUGGUGACGGUAAAGGCAAAACAGUUAUUGUCGGUAGCAGAAGUAACAAAGGCGGCUACAAUACUUACCAAACCGCUACUGUCGGUGGGUUUUCCUUAGCAUUUUAUCAUAAAAAUCAGAAAUAAAUUCAAAUAAAUUUUUAUCAAAAUAUAGCAGACAUAAAAAUAAACAAAAUAUCAUUUAUCAAACAGAAAAACUAAAUCAUCUUAAAUUCUAAACCAUAAUGCUUACUAUUGCAUUCUAAAAAAUAAAUUCAAAUAAAUCUAUGUAUUUUGCAUAUAAUUUAAAUUCACGUUUUUAAGUACUUUGUUUCAUGGUUGAAAUAAAUUCAAAUAAAUAUAUGUAUUUUGUAUAUAAUUCAAAUUCAUGUUUUUUAACUACUUUGUUUUAUGGUUAUCUUGAGUUUUUUUUUUGAGCAAUGGUUAUCUUAAGUUUUUAAACUUUAUUAUUAAGAAGAUUAUUGUUUGGUUGGACCUCUAGACCAAUAUUUAAAAUUCUAGAAUAUUUUUUUAACUGAAAUUUAUUUACCUGAUUUUUUUUUGGCUCAUACCUGAUUUACCUAUUAGACACCACCUAAACCGAUUUUUAGAUCACUCAACUAUUUAUAUCAUUUUCAAAUUUUAAUAUUUAUUUAUUUUUAGCUAGUCUUUAUAUAUACAGUUUAGUAAAAAAAAUUGUAAAUUUCACCUACUAUUGAAGGACAAAAUCUAUUUUACCACUAUUUGAAGUAUUUGUUAAUCAACUUUAUAUAUUUAAAUUAAUAGUUAUAUAUUAAUCUAUAUUUAUAACUACUGAUCGUUGUACUUUAGGUUAUACUGUAAUUACUAAAAUUAAUUGUUACUAUUUAUUUUGUUAAUUUAUGAAAGCCGCUAUGGGAGACGGAUUCAUAGCUCGGGACAUCACCUUCGUGAACAGCGCCGGUCCAAACGCGGAGCAAGCGGUAGCCUUACGGGUCGGGUCAGACAGGUCCGUUGUCUACCGAUGCUCCAUCGACGCUUACCAAGACACACUCUACACUCUCUCCAAAC